UUCUAAUUAUAACCACGGUGUUUAUUUUCCUGGCCUCGUGUCAUCUGAUUUUCUUUUCAUUUAUAUGAAAUAGGAGACAUCAGCUUUGAAAGACGUUCUGACACUUUAAUGAAAAGAACUUUGGUUGUGAGUUGGUUGCUUUUUAUUUCUGUUUCCACGUAGUCCCUAAAUUGAGUAUCUCAAAUUCACUUUGGAGGUGAGAUUCACAUCCUACUUUCUACUAGAGAAAAUCCAUAAAUUAGCACAGGAGAGGAAUCUGGCUCUGAUUCUGGAGGCAGGGCAGGGGGACAAGUCAGCAUAGGUCUCUAAUACACUCAUGAUUUUCCCCUCUUUGUUUGGCCAAGGUUAAAUUAUUCCCCACAGUAUUGACACACUGCUAUAUGUGAACACCCAGGCUACGUACCCUCUCCUUUCCUUCCCCCAACUUACAUACCUUAAUUUUUUUUAGUGUAACUCAACAGAAUCUGGAGAAGAUUUAUCAUAGGAUAAGAAUUCCUUCUCAGUUCAUUGCUCAGAAAAUUUAUCAUCCUUUGGUUGUUUUUCAAGACUACCAAAAAGUCUCCAGGCCCUUUUGCUGAGGCUGCUCAUUGUGCCAGAUUCCACCCUAAGUAAGUAUGAACUCUCCUUCUGGGCUCUUCCAUCAUGCUGUGGUUUGCCUGCUGUCAUCAGCUCCUGCUUCAUCGACGUGCCCGUGGACCUUGGAACCUCUUCGGCCUCAAUGGCGCCUAACUCCACCUGCCAGAUCCAAACUCGGCCAGCCAGCACCCUUUCUAUAAAUAUAGGGAAUGUGAUAUAUUUAGUGCAACUGGUAAUUAAAUUUCAUAACUAUGGUAACCUGAACAUGGGGACUCAUGGGAACAUGGGAACUAAUUCAUUCAGAAUCAAACUGAUUGGAAAACUGAAAAAAAAAACCAAAAACAAAAACUGGAUUUUGAGGGUGCACCUUAUAGUUUAUUUUCAAUACUUUUAUAUUUUGAGAGGAUUGUAGAUUCACAAUUAUAAAAAAUAACCCAGAGAUCUCAUGUACCCUUCAUCCAGUUCCCCCCAGUGGUAAUUUCUUGUAUAUCUACAGAACCAUAUUAUAGCUGGAAAAUUGACACUGAUACAGUCCAUCAGCAGCAUUCAGGUAUCACCACUUCUACUUUUACAGGCACUCGUGUGUGUGUGUAUUUAGUGCUAUAAUUCUAUUACAUGUAUAGAUUCAUAUGGCCACCAAAAUACAGAACAGUUCCAUCGCAAGGAUCCUUUAUGCCACCUGGCUGUCACCACCCUGGAGGGAGAACGGGAGCACUGCCUGCUUCUAACAGGCAGGAAAAGUCCUGGAUGGAGGCCACUAUGGUUCCUGUCUGGGGUAUACGGAAGACAAUAAAGAGACCUGAAGAACUCAUCACUCAUCACUGUCCCAAAGCCCCUAGCAGUCCACCUUCAUCUUUCCUGCUUGGAGUCUUCCUCUGUUUGCUUGUUGUAUUAA